rnacentral:rRNA from 1 species
AGAGUUUGAUCCUGGCUCAGGAUGAACUCUGGCGGCGUGCCUAACACAUGCAAGUCGAGCGAACCGCUUAUAUUGCAUUCUUCUGAUGAAGAUCUUGGUGACUGAGCGGCGGACGGGUGAGUAACCCGUGGGCUACCUGCCUAACACACGGGGAUAACAGUGCUAAAUGACUGCUAAUACCCCAUAACACCUCGGCGCCGCAUGGAACAUCGGGAAAAACUCCAGGGGCGUAAGAUGGACCCGCUUCUGAUUAGGUAGUUGGCCGGGUAACGGCCCACCAAGCCGACGAUCAGUAACCGACCUGAGACGGUGACCGGCCACAUUGCGACUGAGACUCCGCCCAGACUCCUACGGGAGGCAUCUUGGGGGAAUAUUGAACCCUGGGGGAAACCCCGAUGCAUCGACGCCGCAUGAUCUAUGAAUUAUUUCCGCAUGUAAAGCUCUAUCAACAGGCAAGAAAAUGACAGUACCUGACUAAGAAGCCCCGGCUAACUACCUGCCAACUGCCGCGGUAAUACGUAGGGGGCAAGGGUUAUCCGGAUUUAUUGGGUGUAAAGGGAGGGUAGACGGGUGUGCAAUCCAGAUUUAAAGGCCCGGGGUUCAACCCCGGGAUUGCAUUUGCAACUGCGUGGCUUGAGUGUCUGAGAUGCAGGCGGAAUUCCUAAUGUACCGAUGAAAUGCGUAGAUCUCAGGAGGAACACCAGUGUCAAAGGCGGCCUGCUGGACGAUAACUGACCUUGAGGCUCGAAAGCGUGGGGAGCAAACAGGAUUAAAUACCCUGGUAAUCCACGCCGUACACGAUGACUACUAAGUGUCAGGCAACCAAGCUAUUCCGUGCCCCCACAAACCCCCAACGGGGGCCCCCCGGGGGAAACAUUCCGCAAAAAGAAAACUCAAAGGAAUUGACGGGGACCCCCCCAACCGGUGGACCAUGUGGUUUAAUUGGAAGCAACGGGAAGACCCUUACCUGAUCUUGCCAUCCCGGUGACCCGGAGUUAACCGUCCCUUCUUUUCGGACCACUGGAGCCAGGUGGUCCAUGGUGGUCGUCAGCUCGUGUCGUGAGAUGUUGGGUUAAUUCCCCCAACGAGCCCACCCCCUAUCUUUAGUACCCACCAUUUAGGAUGGGCACUCUAGAGAGACUGCCAGGGACAACCCGGAGGAAGGUGGGGAUGACGUCAAAUCAUCAUGCCCCUUAUGACCAGGGCUACACACGUGCUACAAUGGCGUAAACAAAGGGAAGCAGGCAUGUGAACGUGAGCAAAUCCCAAAAAUAACGUCUCAGUUCGGAUUGUAGUCUGCAACUCGACUACAUGAAGCUGGAAUCGCUAGUAAUCGCGAAUCAGAAUGUCGCGGUGAAUACGUUCCCGGGUCUUGCACUCAACGCCCGUCA